rnacentral:rRNA from 1 species
UUAAGCUACAAAGAGCGUAGGGUGAAUAGCUAGGCACCAAGAGCCGAAGAAGGACGUGAUAAGCUGCGAAAAGCUUUGGGUAGGAGCAAAUAUCCAUUAAUCCAGAGAUAUCCGAAUGAGGGAACUCACUUAGAGCAAACAAUCUAAGUAUCCAUAUAUGAGUAAAGUAGUAUAUGAGAAGGGAACGUGGGGAACUGAAACAUCUUAGUACCCACAGGAAAAGAAAGAGAAAUCGAUUCCUAGAGUAGUGGCGAGCGAAAUAGGAAGAGCCUAAACCAUGAGUAGUAAUACACAUGGGGUUCGGACCACGAUAUAUUAUCAACAAUUCUAAUAGAAAUGUUUUGGAAAAGCAUACCAUAGACGGUGAAAGUCCAGUAUAUGAAAGGAAAGUUGAGAUUAGUGGUAUCCAGAGUAGUACGAGACACGAGAAAUCUCGUAUGAAUAAGCGGGGACCAUCCCGUAAGGCUAAAUACUACUUGGUGACCGAUAGUGAACUAGUACCGUGAGGGAAAGGUGAAAAGAACCCCGGGAGGGGAGUGAAAUAGAACAUGAAACCCUAUGUUUACAAGCAGACAAAGCACUUUAUAUGUGCGAUGUCGUACUUUUUGUAGAACGGUCCAGCGAGUUAUUGUGUAUGGCGAGGUUAAGUAUUACGUAAGGUACGGAGCCGAAGCGAAAGCGAGUCUGAAAAGGGCGAUAUAAGUCAUGCAUAAUAGACCCGAAACUGAGUGACCUAUCCAUGAGCAGGAUGAAGCUAGAGUAAAAUCUAGUGGAGGUCCGAACUGAUUGUCGUUAAAAAGGCACCGGAUGACUUGUGGAUAGCGGAGAAAUUCCAAUCGAACUCAGAGAUAGCUGGUUCUCCUCGAAAUAGCUUUAGGGCUAGCCUUGAGGGAAUGCAUAUGGGGGUAGAGCACUGAAUGAGGUAGGGGCCUAACCAGGUUACCAAACUCUAUCAAACUCCGAAUACCAUAUGUAAAUACUCAGGAGUCAGACUGCGGGAGCUAAGUUCCGUGGUCAAAAGGAAAACAGUCCAGAUCGUCAAUUAAGGUCCCAAAGAUAUAGCUAAGUGGAAAACGAUGUGAUUUUGCAUAAACAACCAGGAUGUUGGCUCAGAAGCAGCCAUUCAUUCAAAGAGUGCGUAAUAGCUCACUGGUCGAGUGAAGUUGCGCGGAAAAUUACCGGGGCUAAGCUAUACACCGAAAUUGCGGAUUUACAUUUGAAAGAUAAUGUAAGUGGUAGAGGAGCAUUCUGUAGUAGGAAGAAGCAUGACCGUAAGGACAUGUGGACGAAGCAGAAGAGAGAAUGCUGGAAUAAGUAGCGAGAGGAUGGUGAGAAUCCAUCCCGUCGAAAAUCUAAGGUUUCCCAGGGAAGGUUCGUCCGCCUGGGGUAAGUCGGGACCUAAGGAGAGGCCGAAAGGCGUAUCUGAUGGAUAGCAGGUUGAAAUUCCUGCACUACGAAUAUACUUAAAAGAUUCAAGGGACGCAGAAGUGGAAGAUAACCAAGUAAGAGGAAAAGCUUGGCUCGCAAGAGGGAGUGAAAAUUAAAAGUAACGAAGUAUCAAGAAGCACGCUGACGAGAAAAGCUUGAAGAUAUUGUAUAUAAGUACCCGUACCGCAAACCGACACAGGUAGAUGAGGAGAGGAUCCUAAGACGAGCGGGAGAAGCAUUGUUAAGGAACUCGGCAAAUUAACCCCGUAACUUCGGAAUAAGGGGUGCUGAUGUAACAGUCAGUCGCAGAGAAAAGGCCCAAGCAACUGUUUAACAAAAACAUAGGUUUCUGCUAAAUCGAAAGAUGAAGUAUAGGAGCUGACGCCUGCCCAGUGCUGGAAGGUUAAGGGAAAGAGUUAGGGUUAAACCGAAGCUUAGAACUGAAGCCCCAGUGAACGGCGGCCGUAACUAUAACGGUCCUAAGGUAGCGAAAUUCCUUGUCAGGUAAGUUCUGACCCGCACGAAAGGCGUAAUGA